GCCACUGCUUGCUUCUGUCACACAUUCACAACAAUGAGAAAGGAGACCUAGUGUUAAGUUUCCAUUUUCUCUUAAUGUUUUUUUCUUCCUCACACUGUCCAUGUAGGAGACAAGUGUGCAGAAUGCCAGGUAACUUUACACAGGUGAUGUUACCUUCACUGGUCCUUCAAUCACCUAUCCGAUUUCCCCCAUUAAGGCAUUAGCACCUGACUCUGGAAGGACUGUGACCUUUCUGUGGAAAAACAUAUAAUUUAUUUUUCCCCUGCCUAAGGGAUUAGAUGAUUAUAAAAAUGUGCAGAAGAAGUCAGGGUUGUCAAUUCUUCAUUCUAACUAUUUGUGUUUUCAAGAGACCCGGGAUGUCUUAAUUGCCAAAAGAUAUUGUGAAUUUCCACAUGCAGCUGGGGAAGCCACUCUGCUGCCUGAAGGUACAUGUGGAACAGCCAAUGCCUGUGAGUUGCCAAGGACCUGGGGACAGGGAGUGCCCACGAGCAAAGCCAGUGAUGGAGAGAGCAAUCACCACCACCUCUGACUGAGGCAUGCCUACAAGGAAGAUCAGAAGGAGGUGCAGCUCAUCUGUUGCUACCAACACCGCUGUGGCCAUCUCUCUCUAACUUCAGAAUCCAGACUUCCAACAUGGACUGAAGACUAGAGGUGCGCCUCUGGGAAUCCUCCAGGCCUUCAAGAGACCAGUCUGAAUCCAGAGGGAAAAAUAGGACUGAAUAUGCUCAGAGACUUGAAAAGGAACUAAGAGGAAAUGGCAAUGAUUAUUAAUGAGCAUGCAAUUAUGACAACACCAUCAACAAUCACGUCUGACCACUGAUGAGCAAGCUCUCUACUGGAGAUUGUGUCUGUGUGUGAAGUCAACCAACAACAGACUCCUGCUCCUUCACCCACGCCCUUAUGCACAGUGGGACAUGAGCACAACACGGGCAUCAGGAUGGGAACAAUGAACCUGGUCUUGGUGGAAGAGAAAUGUCAAAUCGAUGGAGAGAUAAAGCAGCAGCAGGUAAGAACAAGCAGCUCUGGCGGAGGACCCAAGUUCAGUUACCAGCACUCAAGUUGGAUGAAAUCACAGCUGCCUGUAUCUUUGGCUCCAGGUGAUUUGAUGCCCUCUUUUGGCCUUCAGG